CCCCGUACACAAAAGCGCAUGUGCUGUGAGCUCGAUGAGUAGGGCGGGACACGUGAUAUCCUGUCUGAAUAUGGGGGGACCAUCCUCCAAGGCUAAAUACUCCUGACUGACCGAUAGUGAACCAGUACCGUGAGGGAAAGGCGAAAAGAACCCCGGCGAGGGGAGUGAAAAAGAACCUGAAACCGUGUACGUACAAGCAGUGGGAGCACCCUUCGGGGUGUGACUGCGUACCUUUUGUAUAAUGGGUCAGCGACUUAUAUUCUGUAGCAAGGUUAACCGAAUAGGGGAGCCGGAGGGAAACCGAGUCUUAACCGGGCGUUAAGUUGCAGGGUAUAGACCCGAAACCCGGUGAUCUAGCCAUGGGCAGGUUGAAGGUUGGGUAACACUAACUGGAGGACCGAACCGACUAAUGUUGAAAAAUUAGCGGAUGACCUGUGGCUGGGGGUGAAAGGCCAAUCAAACCGGGAGAUAGCUGGUUCUCCCCGAAAGCUAUUUAGGUAGCGCCUCGUGAAUUCAUCUCCGGGGGUAGAGCACUGUUUCGGCUAGGGGGCCAUCCCGGCUUACCAACCCGAUGCAAACUGCGAAUACCGGAGAAUGUUAUCACGGGAGACACACGGCGGGUGCUAACGUCCGUCGUGAAGAGGGAAACAACCCAGACCGCCAGCUAAGGUCCCAAAGUCAUGGUUAAGUGGGAAACGAUGUGGGAAGGCCCAGACAGCCAGGAUGUUGGCUUAGAAGCAGCCAUCAUUUAAAGAAAGCGUAAUAGCU
rnacentral:rRNA from 1 species